UGUAGAGGGGGGUUGAAUUCAGGUGUAGCCGUGAAAUGCGUAGAGAUCUGAAGGAAUACCAGUGGCGAAGGCGGCCCCCUGGACAAAGACUGACGNUCAGAUGCGAAAGCGUGGGUAGCAAACAGGAUUAGAUACCNUGGUAGUCCACGCNGUAAACGCUGUCUACUUGGAGGUUGAGGUUUAGACUUUGGCUUUCGGCGCUAACGCAUUAAGUAGACCGCCUGGGGAGUACGGCCGCAAGGUUAAAACUCAAAUGAAUUGACGGGGGCCCGCACAAGCGGUGGAGCAUGUGGUUUAAUUCGAUGCAACGCGAAGAACCUUACCUACUCUUGACAUCCAGCGAAGCCUUCAGAGAUAGAGGCGUGCCUUCGGGAGCUCUGAGACAGGUGCUGCAUGGCUGUCGUCAGCUCGUGUUGUGAAAUGUUGGGUUAAGUCCCGCAACGAGCGCAACCCUUAUCCUUGUUUGCCAGCACAUAAUGGUGGGAACUCCAGGGAGACUGCCGGUGAUAAACCGGAGGAAGGUGGGGACGACGUCAAGUCAUCAUGGCCCUUACGAGUAGGGCUACACACGUGCUACAAUGGCAGAUACAGAGGGCAGCGAAGCUGCGAAGUGGAGCGAAUCCCUUAAAGUCUGUCGUAGUCCGGAUUGGAGUCUGCAACUCGACUCCAUGAAGUCGGAAUCGCUAGUAAUCGUGGAUCAGAAUGCCACGGUGAAUACGUUCCCGGGCCUUGUACACACCGCCCGUCACACCAUGGGAGUGGGCUGCACCAGAAGUAGAUAGCUUAACCUUCGGGAGGGCGUUUA
rnacentral:rRNA from 1 species